UACGUAGGGUGCAAGCGUUGUUCGGAUUUACUGGGCGUAAAGGGCGCGUAGGCGGCUUGACAAGUCACUUGUGAAAUCUCCGGGCUUAACUCGGAACGGCCAAGUGAAACUGUCAUGCUAGAGUGCAGAAGGGGCAAUCGGAAUUCUUGGUGUAGCGGUGAAAUGCGUAGAUAUCAAGAGGAACACCUGAGGUGAAGACGGGUUGCUGGGCUGACACGUGACGCUGAGGCGCGAAAGCCAGGGGAGCAAACGGG
rnacentral:rRNA from 1 species